UGGCGGUGGUGCACACCUUUAAUCCCAGCACUCGGGAGGCAGAGCCAGGCGGAUCUCUAGGUGGCAGUGCUGUCCCACCAGAAGUCGCUCCCUGUAGCCAUCAGGCAGGCCAUGGAUCCAGCUGCAAGGACGGGGAGUCACCGUCACCAAGGCACACCACCUACGCUAUGUCAUGAUAAACAUACAUAGUGUGGAGGUCCUGGCUCUCCAGCAGGAGUGAGGACUCCGGCGACCCAGUUUAAACAAAAUGGCUUCUUUCUGUGCUCAUCACCUGCCCUUCAGCCAGGCUGCCGCUGACAUUCUUCGGGCCUCUGCAGGCAACAAAAAAAGUAUGCAGU